UUCUUUUGGGAAAGGACCCAGAACCACUGUUCACUUCCAGAGACGUCUGCUGGGAAGGGGACAGUCUCCCUACGCGACCGCGCGGCUCUGGGCUCCGGAGGGGAGGUAGAAAAAGUCCCGGAGAUAAUGCCAGGCAGGGGCGUCCUGCCCAUCUUCCUAGACCUGCAGGAGCGCAGUUUUGGGUGGGAGGGCAUGCACUGUAAACCUGAAAUCAUGAAAGUACUCCUAGAAACAUGGAUGAAUCAUUUUCAUUCUACAAUGUCGGAGAGGAAGUUUUUCCUAAAGCAUAAAACGAGACCCAGAAGCCAUAAAGGAAAUGACUGGUAAACUGGAUCACACAAAGUUUAAACAAAGUCUGUCUAUUCCACAAGGAAAGUCCAACUGUAGCAGUGGUCAGCGAUAGGACACAAGGCAUAAGGGGCCUUUCCUUCCCUGGCACCGGCCUGCAGGCUCCACUGAGACAGACACCGGCUCUGCAGCACAGUCCUACCCAGCCAUUUGUCAGCCCCCUGUGGGCCCCUCCUCCCAGGUCAGCAACUGUCAGCCCCAACCAGUUAACAGCCCUGCUCUGCCAUUGGGCCCGGCCUCAGAAAGCGCCUUCCCACUCUCUGUCUUGUGUAUAAGAGCACCCUGAUUCCCGAGGGAGAUAAGAUGGUUCCUAGGCUAGUCUGCCAUCUCCGCUGUCUGCUGGCCUUCCGAUUAAAGUUAUCAUUCCUUGCUCCAACAACUCGUCUUGCAAUUUAUUGGCCUGCCAUGGAGUGAGCAGAAUGAGCUUGGGCUCAGUAGCAAAUUUUGGCAAAGCCAGCCAGGAGCCUUGCUGCUCGUGGUGAGCCGGCCCAAGUUGAGGAAUUUUCAGGGCAGUUUGACAUCAGAAUCCCUCCAGACUAUGCUGUAAGCCUAUAGAUGGCACUCAUGGAUGCUCCUGAAGAGGAGACAGCCUUUUCCCACUGAGAUCUAUGAAAAGGGGAGGCUCAAAAGAAAUAUAAUGCCCAAAAAACUGGAGAAGAAAAGACAAGAGCUUUUCACCAAGGCCAAGCAGAGAUGUCAUGACAGAUCUGUACUUCCUCUGAGGCUGACCGGAUGCACUUUCCAGAAGCCAGUCACAAAGAUAACCUUCCAUCCUGGCGAUGUGAUCAGGUGCCAUUGAUGUGAGAGGACCCUAGGAGAAGCUGCAGCAAGUCUGUGCAUUCAGGAGGCUGCAGGAGCUCCAGGCCUACAACUCUGAAGGAGAACCUUUCAGAACCUUGGACAGCACAAAUGUUUCUGGGGUUAUUGCCCUGGUUUUGCAGGCGAGUUCCUGGGUCAUGUUGGUUCCAGAUCUCUGCACACCAGGCCUGAGCUCAUCACUUUUAGUCUUCAGAUAAGGCAGAGAUGGAUCCAGGAUUGGAGCUUUUCCUCCCACAGGUCGUCUGCAGAUGGCCAGAAACAGAUGCAGAUAUUCACUGACAGUCUCAGAUAGGGAAGACAGCAAGGGAGGGAUUGGCUAUGACCUUGAGGGCAGACAGGCUUGCCAGGGAUGCAGAGAGAGCCAGGAGCCAGAAAGAAUGUUCUUGAGAACUAGAGAAAAAUAGAAGACUGUCUUGUAGAAACCGAAUGGUCCCUGGGAAGUGGUUCAUAGGGAGUGGGGUUGGGGACAGUCCUCUGCUCCACUUGCCACUUUCACUGUCAACCCGGUUUCUGAACUAAGAUGCUUUAUUAUAUUAACUUUGUACUCUAUUAAAUGCUUAGUAGA